rnacentral:rRNA from 1 species
AUAUCAAUAAGCGGAGGAAAAGAAACCAACAGGGAUUGCCCUAGUAACGGCGAGUGAAGCGGCAACAGCUCAAAUUUGAAAUCUGGCUCUCUUGCAGGGUCCGAGUUGUAAUUUGUAGAGGGUGCUUUGGCGUUGGCGGCGGUCUAAGUUUCUUGGAACAGGACAUCACAGAGGGUGAGAAUCCCGUAUGUGGUCGCCGACCUUCGCUGUGUAAAGCCCCUUCGACGAGUCGAGUUGUUUGGGAAUGCAGCUCUAAAUGGGAGGUAAAUUUCUUCUAAAGCUAAAUACUGGCCAGAGACCGAUAGCGCACAAGUAGAGUGAUCGAAAGAUGAAAAGCACUUUGGAAAGAGAGUCAAACAGCAC